rnacentral:tRNA from 1 species
GCCUGAGUGGCCGAGUGGUUCUAGGCGCUGCAGUCUGGAACCGCACGACCGCUACGGUCGCAGGUUCGAAUCCUGCCUCGGGCA